rnacentral:rRNA from 1 species
CAGUCGCCGCGGGAAUACGUAGGGUGCGAGCGUUAAUCGGAAUUACUGGGCGUAAAGCGUGCGCAGGCGGUUCGUUAAGACAGAUGUGAAAUCCCCGGGCUUAACCUGGGAACUGCAUUUGUGACUGGCGAGCUAGAGUAUGGCAGAGGGGGGUAGAAUUCCACGUGUAGCAGUGAAAUGCGUAGAGAUGUGGAGGAAUACCGAUGGCGAAGACAGCCCCCUGGGCCAAUACUGACGCUCAUGCACGGAAGCGUGGGGAGCAAACAGGAUUAGAUACCCGCGUAGUCCCUGUCUCUUAUAC